GAUACUUUAAUGAGAAAUUAAAAACAAAAAACCAAACACAGUUUCCGGAAAGACAUUCUGAAUGGUUCAAUUAGCAAGCAGUCCUAGUACAUUAAUUCAGAGCUCCAAUGGGCAACAUUUUCUCUGUUUAUUUGAAAUCUUUCUGAAAUCUGAUAUUGAAGGUUCUUCAUUCUCUUGAUUUUCUUCUUCCUUCUAUAUUUUCUCAAACUAACUUAAGAGUUUCUCUUCUCAGUACAGAAAUGAUUAGGCCAGCAGAUUUGGACUUUGUCUUGGUUUCACAGUAGAUCUGAAUAUCUCACCCUGUUACUUCCAUUUAGUAAUUUUCUAGGUUUACAAAUCCAGUCAAAUCUCUCUUGAAUGCCAGUCUCAUGAAUUUACCUCUUACUGGGUCUCACCAUAUCAAGAAAUCAUAAGCCAGAACAAAUGUGUUUAAUUUGUUGUUGUUUUUGCUUGUUUGUUUGCCUUUAUAAACAGGUUGUUUCGAAUAGGAGCAGAUUUCAUGCCAAAAGAUCAAGGAUGGAAAUUUAUGCUAUUACCAUCUAAUGCACAGAGACCAGAGAGAUGCAGAAUAGCAUAUAAUCCACCGGGCAGCAUCCCAGAAGAAAAGAGACUAUGCGGCUAUGAAGGUAACAUUGCUCUGCCACAUGCUUGCCUAACACCACCUACAAUCGAUACUGCAUUCUUCCUUGACAGAAAGCAGAAUUUUUAUGUGUUAAAUGUGUGAGCUUGGGGCACUGAUGUGUCUGAAGUGGUUUAAAUCUGAAAUGUGAUGUGCUGAAAGGAGAGUUGAUUGACAUCUUUGUUUAUUGAAAAGUAUUACAUGAACAACAAAACACAGCCAAGGAAGAACACUCCAUUGCAAAAUGCAGCUGUGUUAUUUUUCAAUCCUAUGUGCUUGGAACCUUUGAAACUUGUCUGAUGUAAUAAAGCCAGAGGAUAUAAAACA
rnacentral:lncRNA from 1 species